rnacentral:rRNA from 1 species
AAAUUGAAGAGUUUGAUCAUGGCUCAGAUUGAACGCUGGCGGCAGGCCUAACACAUGCAAGUCGAACGGUAACAGGAAGCAGCUUGCUGCUUUGCUGACGAGUGGCGGACGGGUGAGUAAUGUCUGGGAAACUGCCUGAUGGAGGGGGAUAACUACUGGAAACGGUGGCUAAUACCGCAUAACGUCGCAAGACCAAAGAGGGGGACCUUCGGGCCUCUUGCCAUCAGAUGUGCCCAGAUGGGAUUAGCUUGUUGGUGAGGUAACGGCUCACCAAGGCGACGAUCCCUAGCUGGUCUGAGAGGAUGACCAGCCACACUGGAACUGAGACACGGUCCAGACUCCUACGGGAGGCAGCAGUGGGGAAUAUUGCACAAUGGGCGCAAGCCUGAUGCAGCCAUGCCGCGUGUAUGAAGAAGGCCUUCGGGUUGUAAAGUACUUUCAGCGGGGAGGAAGGUGUUGUGGUUAAUAACCGCAGCAAUUGACGUUACCCGCAGAAGAAGCACCGGCUAACUCCGUGCCAGCAGCCGCGGUAAUACGGAGGGUGCAAGCGUUAAUCGGAAUUACUGGGCGUAAAGC